UACGGGGGGGGCAAGCGUUUGUUCGGAAUUACUGGGCGUAAAGGGCUCGUAGGCGGCCAACUAAGUCGGACGUGAAAUCCCCAGGCUCAACCUGGGAACUGCGUCCGAUACUGGAUGGCUUGAAUUCGGGAGAGGGAUGCAGAAUUCCAGGUGUAGCGGUGAAAUGCGUAGAUAUCUGGAGGAAUACCGGUGGCGAAGGCGGCAUCCUGGACCGACAUUGACGCUGAGGAGCGAAAGCUAGGGGAGCAAACGGG
rnacentral:rRNA from 1 species